rnacentral:rRNA from 1 species
UACGGAAGGCAGCAGUGGGGAAUAUUGCACAAUGGGCGCAAGCCUGAUGCAGCCAUGCCGCGUGUAUGAAAAAGGCCUUCGGGGUUGUAAAGUACUUUCAGUCGUGAGGAAGGUGUUAAGGUUAAUAACCUUAGCAAUUGACGUUAGCGACAGAAGAAGCACCGGCUAACUCCGUGCCAGCAGCCGCGGUAAUACGGAGGGUGCGAGCGUUAAUCGGAAUUACUGGGCGUAAAGGGCACGCAGGCGGUUAAUUAAGUUGGAUGUGAAAUCCCCGGGCUUAACCUGGGAAUGGCAUUCAAGACUGGUUAGCUAGAGUCUUGUAGAGGGGGUAGAAUUCCAUGUGUAGCGGUGAAAUGCGUAGAGAUGUGGAGGAAUACCGGUGGCGAAGGCGGCCCCUGGACAAAGACUGACGCUCAUGUGCGAAAGCGUGGGGAGCAAACAGGGAUUAGAUACC